rnacentral:rRNA from 1 species
UACGGAGGGUGCGAGCGUUGUCCGGAAUCACUGGGCGUAAAGGGCGCGUAGGUGGCGCGAGGAGUCUGUGGUGAAAGCCCGAGGCUCAACUUCGGGUCGGCCGCGGAUACUCUCGUGCUGGAGGGUGGUAGAGGCCAAUGGAAUUCCGGGUGUAGCGGUGGAAUGCGUAGAGAUCCGGAAGAACACCGGUGGCGAAGGCGGUUGGCUGGGCCACACCUGACACUGAGGCGCGACAGCGUGGGGGAGCAAACAGGG